GCAAAGUUUUUUUUCGAAAUUGAAUGCACGCCAUCCUAUCCAAUCUGGCAAGUUAAGCAACGUUGAGUCCAGUUAGUACUUGGAUCGGAGACGGCCUGGGAAUCCUGGAUGUGAGUAAGUU
rfam:Caenorhabditis brenneri strain PB2801 C_brenneri-6.0.1_Cont111.5, whole genome shotgun sequence.